rfam:Capsicum annuum cultivar Zunla-1 chromosome 10, whole genome shotgun sequence
CUUCACAUAGCCUCCCGGGCUCAUCUGAACUUUUUCACAUGAAGUUAGCAGCCCCAAAGCUCGUGCUAUAUGUUUCGCCACGAAGUGUUGCAGCAUUUUGUACCUUCUAUCCAUGGCUUAUCUUUGUCAAAUCCAUGGCUAGACCC